AUCCUUCGGUGCUUGUGGUUGUCGAGUGUAUGACAUUGGUAUGCCAUCCAUUUCAAAGGGGCAGUGCUUCAUUGAUCGAAAUUCUUCGUGUGUGUGUGUGUGUGUGUAUACAGUCUCAGACACGCUCUUUUGAUUUAGAACACUCCCCCAAUCAUGUUGUCCUCUAUGUCAGACUUUGUAAUCGGCAACCAGCUAUCCUGGUUUAGAAGCCCGAAAUACAAAGCACCCUUUUCGCUUCUUCCCAUUCUCUCUCAAACAAACCACCAGUCAUCACUAUCCCUCAUUCUCACCAUCUGACACCCACCAACAACAACACCCUUUUCCACUACAUAGUGGAUUGUUCUAUGAAAGUUGGGUUUU
rnacentral:lncRNA from 1 species